UACGUAGGUGGCGAGCGUUGUCCGGAUUUACUGGGCGUAAAGGGAGCGUAGGCGGACUUUUAAGUGAGAUGCGAAAUACUCGGGCUCAACUUGAGUGCUGCAUUUCAAACUGGAAGUCUAGAGUGCAGGAGAGGAGAAUGGAAUUCCUAGUGUAGCGGUGAAAUGCGUAGAGAUUAGGAAGAACACCAGUGGCGAAGGCGAUUCUCUGGACUGUAACUGACGCUGAGGCUCGAAAGCGAGGGGAGCAAACAGG
rnacentral:rRNA from 1 species